rnacentral:misc_RNA from 1 species
CUUUUUUACAUGGAAAUAUUAUUUAUUUCUUCUGCUGAUGGAAUGCAUGUCGUGUAUUGAGAAAUAGCAAAUAUUUGGCCUGCUUUUGCCUCAACCCUACCCAGUUCAGCAGAUUCUUAGCUGAAUUUCUAUCAUCAUUGCGACAAAGUGAUGACACACAGCAUAAUGGUGCUCUUGUAGCAAAAACUCUAUUUCUAAUGUCAGCAUUUUGAUGAGUUUUUGAAAAUUCAUUUAAUGAAUUGAGAGAGUUUUCUAAACUGGUAGUUGAUCGAAACUUGCUGUAUAUUCAAGGCUAAACCAUAAGUUCCUAGGGAAGAACUGGAUCUUUAAAGCUAUAUUACUCGUAAAUCCUAAUUGGUUAAGUUUAACAUACUUCUCAGGGAUUCACAUACUUGCCGGGU